CUCCUGCUAGAUCAGCGAAUGCCCCUUUCCGAUGCAUUGAAAAUGUUCGUUUUAGAGGCCGUCGUGUGUUUGGAUUUGACUUUUGAAAAUAAUUGCAGAAAGGCUUUCAAGCUGUUUCUGAAACGCUGCUUUCUUCCAAAGAGAGGGAAAAGCAUCCCCUCGGCCGGGCGAUGCGCCGUGUCUGCGCUGCGAACUCGGAGGGGAUUUGUAAGAGGCGCCUGGCGUCCUCUCCUUCAUCAGAUGUCAUCCACAAAUCAAGAUUGAUGAAAAGUUCAUGUGAAGAAAUAACUUCACCUAGCCAGGAAGUGAAAACAAGAGUGGAUUGAAAGAUGUGUGGUCAGUGUGUUUCCUCAUUCAGGACCAUGCAAGCUGUGUAUUCCUUUGAAAUUGUUCAUAUCAACGUUCUUCAUUUGCUUCUAAGGGAUAAAACAUUCAAGGUUUAAAAACAGCCACUUGAAAUUCGGGAGAGCAUCCAGAUGAAUCAAGGAGUCCUGGAAAUGUUCUAGAUAUUGCAAAGAGGGAACCGAAAAAGGGAAAAAACAACCAAGUUUGAAAAGGACAGAUCUUCAUGUUGCAAAUUGACAUAUUUUAUCAGUUGGUCUCCUGGUUCACAUGAAUACUUCUUUUCUUACUGUCUUUGUAGGGGUCUAGUUUUAAAUCAGCCACAGGAAGUUUAUGAUGUUUACCUUGAGAGGAGUCUGCACUGUACUUUUAUGGAAUUCUUCGGUCAUUCAUACCGUUUUGUUUUUCCCUUUCACAUGAAUAGGACUGUCAUAAAUAAAACGUAAAAUAUU